CUUUAUUUUUCUCCCCAGUACAGACAUCACACUCCACAUCUCCAAGUUCACAAUGAUCAAGUUGAGCAGCUUCUAGUUUUCUCUUCCUCAGAUUAUCCUCCACUUUAAUCAGCAUGGUGUUUUCACCUAAAACAGGUCUUGGAGUGAAGGUCUGUCUGCACUGAGGGCAGCUGUAGACUCUCUUCUGAUCGUCCUGAUCCCAGCAGCCUGUAAUACAGCUCGUACAGUAACUGUGUCCACAGGUGAGGGUCACUGGAUCUGUCAGUAGCUUUAGACAGAUUGAACAACUUAACUGAGCCACUGAAAUAUUAGUUCCUGCCAUUGUACGUGCCAUCACAGAUAAA